CUAACAAAUACGGUGUUAUGACGCACGAAAAAACAAAACAGUUUAUUCAGUAGUGUAACACCGAUUGGUUCUUACGUGUUAAAUGAUUGUAUAUCAUAGACAUAAAGCUUCAAUAUAUUUCAUCAACUUAUAUUGUGUAUCUGAUUGUAAAGGAACAUUAUUUCUAAGUGUACGAAGUAAAAAGUAACUGAGUUGAAAAUAGUGUUUUAAAAUCUAAAAAUGAUGAUCAAAAAGUCUACAUUUUCCAUAUACUUUAUAAUUUUCUUAGAGUAUAAUAAAAUAAUUUCAACAGUAACAUGCUAUUGCAAAGAUUGUUCAGAUAGUUAUCCAGAUUUUGGUGAUGUAAAUGAAAAAAUCCACAAUGGUUCUGAACAAGGUGAUCACCAAGCCAAAGAAAAAGAGAAGGAAUUUGGACAAGAGAAAGCAGUUGAUGAAAAUGUAGAAAUCACCUGUGAUGCUCAAACCGUUCAAAUUAUGAAUUCCAUACAACUGGGAAUACAAGAAGCAGUUACCAAAAAUGAUUCGAAUGUUAUCUGUUCGUCAGAGUUCCGUUUUACAGAAAGUUUAGACACAGAGCUUAUAGAUUUGAAAAAAAAUUAUCAACUAUCAGAUAAUGAAGGUUAUAAAUUUUAUACAUACGCUCCAUCUACAUUCCAUUAUUUUAGAGAUUUUUUUGGCAUUCAGUUAAAUGAAUAUGUUGGCUCGUUGUGUAAAUCACCCCUUAUUGUAGUGUCCAACUCAGGUGCAAGUACAUCAAUAUUUUACCUCACACAGGAUAGAAAAUUUAUCAUAAAAUCUUUACAGAAAGAUGAAGAUGAAUGUUUAAAUAAGCUACUCAAUAGAUACAUCACUCAUUUGAAGCUCAAUUCGGAAUCUCUGUUGCCAAAAUUUUCCGGUUUUUAUCGUUACAAAAGCAAAUUAAUAGACAUUAAAUUAGUAUCUAUGAAUAAUUUACUACCUUCAAACAUAAAAAUGCAAGUAAAGUAUGAUCUGAAAGGUUCAACUUUCAACAGAACAGCUUCCAGAAAUGAAAAACUUAAGCCAUCGCCAACACUUAAAGAUUUAGACUUUGACGAGGAUGAUCUUGAUGGUUUGUUUUUGAUGCCACACACUCUCUCAGAUCUUCUCAAAACUAUCAAUAGUGAUUGUGAUUUUCUAAAAAAUUGUAAUAUAAUGGAUUACAGUCUUUUAUUAGGCAUUCAUAAACUCGAUGAAGAUAUUUCUACUUGUAGUCAGGCAGCUUCAGCCAGGUUUAAUCGUUUGAUGGUUAAUUCGAUAGGAAUGCAAGAUAUUCAAGCAGACACUGCAACUUUUGAGAAUGAAAAGCCUUGUCCUUUUUUAAGAGGUAGUAUACCUGCCAUAAGUGGAAGUGAUAAAAAAUUGUUACUAUUUGUUGGAAUUAUUGAUAUAUUACAAGAUUAUGGAAUAAUGAAAAGAAUUGAGAAUAUGUAUAAGACCUUAAAAAUAUGGUUGACAGUUUGUAUUCCAUCAGAUCUCAGCUCUAUUUCUGCAAAACCACCCAAAAAAUAUGCCUUUAGAUUUAUGGAAUUUAUGAAAAAUUCGGUGUUCAAGCCAUAUUUGUCUUCUCGAGAACGUGAAGAACAAUCCAAGCAACAAAGCGUCGAAAUCGUGCUGGGUAAAUGACCACAUGAUGAAACCGAUGCGGUAAACUAGUAACUACCCAUUCAAUUUCAAUCAAUUCAAAAAUUGGAUCCGAUAAGUCUCCCUCGGGCGCAUAAUCAAUACGUGAUCUACCGUCAGAAACUUUUGAAUCGCCUUUAAGUGCCAGCUGCAAAAAACCCUCAAUAUCGCAUUGUCACGACCAUGAUGUAAACAGCAUGAAAAAGUUCCAGAUUUGGUUCAAGUCAGCAAAGCACGUCACUAGCUUACCAAUAGAAAUUAGACCGUUAAAAGAAGAAUAUCGAUUCUAGUUAAAUGGUUGUAAUUAAAAAAUAUCAUUCGAAGCUGUAACUACCCAUAUAGGUACUUGCAACAUUCAAUAAUAUUGUUAUAUUUUAUACACACUCAAUAACAUUUUUAGUGAAUUUUUUUGGCAAAAACUUACUCAACCUACUGCAUUAGGUGACGUUAAACAACGUCGAUACAUCGGUUUAGAAUACCUAGAAGCCACUGCAGCAUAUUUAAUUUGCAAACUAAAUAUUUACUCAGGUGAUAAAAAUAAAUAAAUACCAUAGUCGAACUACCGAAAAGCAAGUAAUAUGAACUACUUAUGUGAAUGCUUAUGUUUUAAA